rnacentral:tRNA from 1 species
GACCCUGUAGUGAAGUUCAUAGUGAGUUGCAAACUCAUUGAUGCGCAUUAAAGUGUGCCUGGGUCUUGU